CAUAAUUUCACAUCUGAAAAAUAUUAUUUGAAAAUGCAUUGUUCAAAACUACAAAUAAUGUUUCAUGAAUUGUGUGAUUUGUUAAAAUAAUAUACGUUGAGGCAGGAUGCCAACAAAUCAAUGGAGCACCGUGGUUUUUGCAUCCUGCUCUAUGGCAAAGCCAAGCAAAUUUAAGCUACCUGAAAAGGAAAUUUUCCAGAUAUUCCAGGUCCAACUGGUAGGCUGUUGGAGCAUUAUCCUGAAGAUUCCUAAUUCAAUUCCAGAUUGGGACAAAUUUCAUUUUCAAAUAGUAUUAAAAUUUCUAAUUUAAUUAUUAGUCAAUAGAUGGAGC
rnacentral:lncRNA from 1 species